CUAUGUUUAUUUUAUCUGAAAUAUUAAUAAAUCACUGCACCGUCCCUCAGAUGCUUGAGAUGGUAUACAAAAUGAAAAAGAACAAAACUAGACUAAAGUGAAUACAUUGCCGUAAUAAGAAAGCACUUUUUAAGACAAAGAGACUUUAACAGAAUACCAUAAUUUUUAUUACCAUUUGAAGCACAAAAAGAGAAAUUAUUCCCAAUGAAAGGAUUAUACAGAAAGAAAACUUAUUAGCAACUCCUGACUAAAUGCAAAAUAAAACUACUUAAAAUCAGUGGUUUUUCUGCAGUUUCAAUUAUAGGGUAUCUGUAACAUGACAUGGAAACAUUUUCUGACAUUGAGAUCAAUUUUAAUUAGUUAUUUCCUUUCAGUUUUCAUUUCUUUAUCAUACAUAGUAUUAUGAACACCGAAAGAAAAAAGCUACACAAAAAGAAUAAUCAAAUGUUUACUUCUAAGAAAACAUGAAUGAAGACAACUAUAUGUGUCCCAGGAAAACAAUCAUGAUAAAUGAAUGAAUGUCUAGUAAAACUGCCCAGUUUAUCCAUCUGCUGAUCUGUUGUAUCUGUUGUUCUACUUCAGUAAUUUCUGCAUGUCACUCAUUUGGGGACCAGGAUAUUUCAACUUGAGAACUCUUCAAAAAAGGAAUCACUACAGAGGUUAUCAAGGUGAAAAAUAAGGCAUUGAAGAACCGUAGAAGUUAUUUCUUACAUCUUCAAUCCCCCAAAAAUAUUGAACAUAUCUUUUUAGCUGAUCUAAACAUGUUCCUUUGCAGUACACAUAAUGGAAAGGAAGUUGCUUUUAUGAAAAAGUGUAUAGCUUCUAGAGCCGGGAUUGGCAACUUGCUGCUCUGGAGCCACAUGUGGCUCCCUUUUGGCCCUCUGCUCUG